UCACAAUAUCUCCAAUCCCCAGCAUGGAGAAGUGGCUGCCUGUGGAACUAAAGGGGAACUGGAAUUGGGUUCGUGGCCAAACAAAAGCAUCCCAACAUCUAAAAAACAAGAACAGAGUAAUACCCCAACAAAACUACUGCCUGCCUGCUGCUGCACUGAGCUUACUGCCCCACCAGGCCCUGGGCGUGUCUGCUUACAGAUGUGAGCCACCAGGGAACCCCUGGAGCAGGGACAUGUGGAAUAAUCUCCCUUCUGCACUGUGCUUGCUUGGUAAGCCACCCUUGCUUAGAUCAGUUUCCAACCCUUUCCCAAUCAUCUGCAAUUACACAGUUAUUCAGACUGCUCUGAUGUUUUAAUAAACCUCAUCUCUUUUGCUUCUAA